AUGCCCUGGGCUCUGCUCCUCCUGACCCUCCUCACUCACUCUGCAGUGUCAGUGGUCCAGGCAGGGCUGACUCAGCCACCCUCGGUGUCCAAGGGCUUGAGACAGACCGCCACACUCACCUGCACUGGGAACAGCAACAUUGUUGGCAACCAAGGAGCAGCUUGGCUGCAGCAGCACCAGGGCCACCCUCCCAAACUCCUAUCCUACAGGAAUAACAACCGGCCCUCAGGGAUCUCAGAGAGAUUCUCUGCAUCCAGGUCAGGAAACACAGCCUCCCUGACCAUUACUGGACUCCAGCCUGAGGACGAGGCUGACUAUUACUGCUCAGCAUUGGACAGCAGCCUCAGUGCUCA